GAUGAACGCUGGCGGCGUGCCUAAUACAUGCAAGUCGAGCGAACAGACGAGGAGCUUGCUCCUCUGACGUUAGCGGCGGACGGGUGAGUAACACGUGGAUAACCUACCUAUAAGACUGGGAUAACUUCGGGAAACCGGAGUUAAUACCGGAUAAUAUAUUGAACCGCAUGGUUCAAUAGUGAAAGACGGUUUUGCUGUCACUUAUAGAUGGAUCCGCGCCGCAUUAGAUAGUUGGUAAGGUAACGGCUUACCAAGGCAACGAUGCGUAGCCGACCUGAGAGGGUGAUCGGCCACACUGGAACUGAGACACGGUCCAGACUCCUACGGGAGGCAGCAGUAGGGAAUCUUCCGCAAUGGGCGAAAGCCUGACGGAGCAACGCCGCGUGAGUGAUGAAGGUCUUCGGAUCGUAAAACUCUGUUAUUAGGGAAGAACAAAUGUGUAAGUAACUAUGCACGUCUUGACGGUACCUAAUCAGAAAGCCACGGCUAACUACGUG
rnacentral:rRNA from 1 species